UACGUAGGGUGCAAGCGUUAAUCGGAAUUACUGGGCGUAAAGCGUGCGCAGGCGGUUUUGUAAGACUGUCGUGAAAUCCCCGGGCUCAACCUGGGAAUGGCGAUGGUGACUGCAAGGCUAGAGUUUGGCAGAGGGGGUAGAAUUCCGACGUGUAGCAGUGAAAUGCGUAGAUAUGUGGAGGAACACCGAUGGCGAAGGCAGCCCCCUGGGUCAAAACUGACGCUCAUGCACGAAAGCGUGGGGAGCAAACAGG
rnacentral:rRNA from 1 species